UCCAAAGGGUCUUUUCCUUUUCCUUGCUUCUUGUAAAUCUAUGGUAGAACUUCCAGACUCACCACCAUCACAUGAGCCAAAAGCAUCUUCAUUCUCUUUUCUAGUACACUUGAACUGUUCCAAAACUACAUCAAGACCAGAUUUCACCUCUGUUUCUCCUCUUUUCUUUACCUCAUUCAGUCUUCCAUUAGACCCUUUCACUUCACUACCACCCACAGGUGACAAGAAUGGCCUAUCCUUUCC
rnacentral:lncRNA from 1 species